GUGAUUUAUCAUUAGUUCUUUCUGAAAACUAUAUAUGCAAGUAUUUUGUAUGUUUUGUGAAAUUGACUUAUUAAUGUGGUUGCUUACGUGUACUGUUAUAUAUGAACAUUUUUCAGUUUCAAAGGGUGACCAAUAAAAUGAUAUCUACAUUAAUCCCCAAAAAAAAUGAUAUCUACAUUUAGUAAAGCCCUAAGCCUUAAAAUAUAGAUUUGGGUGUUGGGAAAAACACAUAAUUAGCAGUGUCUAAAAGACAUGCCGAGCUUGGUAACGCUUGCUUGUAACCUAAGUUGGAAAAGUAUAAUGUGUGCCAAAAAAGACAUGAAACUCAUAUGGGCUGAAAACACAAUCUGUUGAUAUAGCUGGAACAGGAAUAAUGGUUAUAAGUUGUGGCCGUCCCCAUCUUUCAAGCUGAUUUUGUUGGUUUUGUCAGGUCUAUCUCAAAUUUUAUUAUGGUAUCACAUGUCUAUCUUAGAUCCGUUGGGC
rnacentral:lncRNA from 1 species